rnacentral:lncRNA from 1 species
UCAACAAACUUGGAACCUCCUUUCCAUUUUUGCCAGCUUUCACAUCCUCUCCUAAAGGCCUCAAGCUAUGGAAGCAUCGUGUUCCUGUCCUCUGUGGCAGGGAUUGUAUCCAUUGACGGUAACUCCAUUUAUGGUCUAACGAAAGGUAACCAAACUUUUAAACUACAUGCAAGAUUAACUAAUCAACUAGGAGAUUCUUUUGUUUUGUUGAUGAUUCCUAAUACAAGUCUCUUACAGGAGCUCUGAAUCAGCUAGCUAGAAACUUGGCUUGUGAAUGGGCAAAAGAUGGCAUAAGAGCCAACGCUGUUGCACCUAAUAUAAUCAAGACUCCUCUGUCUCAACCUGUAAUAAAAAAAAAGGACAAACGUUUACCAUUAUUUAUUUAUUUUUUGUAAAUGUAACAAUAUCUAUACCUCCUAAUCAUCUCAAUUUUGUCUCUUCAAGUAUCUUGAGGACGUUAGUUUCAAGGAGGGAUUGUUUGGUAGAACUCCACUUGGUCGCGCUGGAGAGCCGAAUGAAGUUGCAUCAAUAGUGGUCUUCUUGUGUCUACCUGCUGCUUCUUACAUCACAGGUCAAACCAUUUGUGUUGAUGGAGGUCUCACUGUUAAUGGCUUCUCCUAUCAACCACAUGCUUAAGUCAGAUCUUCUUUAUUUGUGGACAGACUCAUUAAUAACAGAUAUUAUUGUAUUCUCUACAAAGGACAACCAAAAUCUUGUCUUCAAUUUGUAUUCAGCCGUGCUUUGAAGAAAUGAAAAGGUAUUGCAAUGCGCUAGUUUUUUAGCUCUGUUUUGCUCUGUUUUUCUCUGUUUUGUCUACAUAAAAAAACUGUAUUGCUCUGUUUCAGUGUUUGUGUUUCAUGAUGUAUUCCAAAUCCAAUGGCUCUAAAACAUGUCCUACUAUUUCGGAUACAUGUCUUCAACGAUGACAAAAAUAACACUCAGCACAACGUCUGCGUUGUAUUUGAUAUUAUAAACCUUUGUUGGCGGUAAAAAAAAGUGAAAGAAGUAAUUUCCAAGAAGUAUAGGUUUUAAGAGAAGUUUUACAGAAGAGACGAAGGAGCCUAUCGAUGUAUUGGACAUUUGAAAUUCUAAAUACGUGGAACGUUUAGAUAACUUGUACAAUAUUCUGAUUUCUAAUUUCAUUUGUCUCUUGUGAGGGAAGUAAUUGAACAAGACAAAUGAAUAAAGUGUUUGGUCGACAAUUUUGACUUUAAAAGGCAUUUUUGCGAGGAAUCACUAACUUAGCUUUUUUAGUUAUGUUCUAACUUACGACUGCAUAACAUUUUUCCACCACACAUACAAACAUAAAUUUGUACUUAUCUUAUCCACAUUCAUUGUAUAUAAUAUAGUAUGUGGCAUUUCUGGUAAUUGCUAAUCACAUGCAAACAAAAGAAUGGAUAAAAGAUGGAGUCUUCAAGGUAUGACUGCUCUUGUGACCGGUGGAGCCAGCGGAAUCGGGUUAGUCUUUCUGCUUACCCAUUGUUCUAUCUUAGAUGGUCAAGAUUUCAAGGAAUUUGUGCUUUUUGAAAGUCUAGGUAUGCCAUAGUAGAAGAGUUAGCUAGUUUUGGAGCUAGAAUCCAUGUAUGUGAUAUAUCUGAAACUCUGCUUCAUCAAAGUUUAAGCGAAUGGGAAAAGAAAGGGUUUCAAGUGAGUGGUUCAAUCUGUGAUGUAACCUCUCGUCCCGAGAGAGAAACUUUGAUGCAAAAAGUCUCCUCACUGUUCGAUGGCAAACUCAACAUUCUUGUAAGUAGUAAAUGAUCUUUGCUAGAAACAACUAAGCAAAUUGUUUCAAAAAGAACAUCCUAUUUAUGUUCAACAUAGGUGAACAAUGUGGGCGUACUACACGGAAAGCCAACAACAGAAUAUGUGGCAGAAGAUUUCGCUUUGCACAUCUCAACAAACUUGGAGGCUUCUUACCAUUUUUGCCAGCUUUCACAUCCUCUCCUAAAGGCUUCAGGCUAUGGAAGCAUCGUCUUCAUGUCUUCUGUUGCAGGGAUUGUAUCAAUUGACUGUGGAUCUAUUUAUGGUCUUACCAAAGGUAACCACAGCUACUACUAGAUGCUGUUCAUUGCAAGGCAAGCUAAUAAACAAGGAUGUUUUGUUGAUCUCUUUAACAGGAGCUCUGAAUCAGCUAGCUAGAAAUUUGGCUUGUGAAUGGGCAAAAGACGGAAUAAGAGCCAACGCUGUUGCACCUAAUGUUGUCAAGACUCGACAGUCUCAAUCUGUAAUUAAAAGAAAUAGAAAAAAAGCUUUUACAGAUUUUUGUGUGAAUUUGGCAACUUUAAUUCCUCUAACCAUCUCUCAUUUUUUUUUGUUUCUUGAAGUUUCUUGAGGACGUCAGUUUCAAGGAAGGAUUGUUUGGUAGAACUCCACUUGGUCGCGCUGGAGAGCUAAAUGAAGUUGCAUCACUAGUGGUCUUCUUGUGUCUACCUGCUGCUUCUUACAUUACUGGUCAAACUAUUUGUGUUGAUGGAGGUCUCACUGUUAAUGGCUUCUCCUAUCAGCCACAUGCUUGAGUCAGAUCUUCUUUAUGUGUGGACAGACUCAUUAUUUUUUGUUUAUUUUCGGCCUUGUUAACAGUUGGGAAGAAGAAACUAUUUAUUUAGGUAAGACUAGAAUCAGAGGAAUAUGUGUUUGCAUAUUGUUUUGCUCUGUUUUGUGUUUUCUGAUGUAUUCCAAAUGGACCAAAUCCGAUGACUCUAAAACAUGUCCUACUAUUUCGGAUACUAGUCAACGGUUCUUGGUAGAAACAAUGACAAAAACACUGAGCACAAUAUCUGCGUUCUAUUUGAUAUUAUAGACGCACUUGCUCUUUAUUGUACUCUUGGUUGGCGGUAAAGAAAGUGAAAGAGGUAAUUUCCAAAAGUAAAAGUUUUAAGAGAAGUUUUACAGAAGAGACGAAGAAGACUAUGAGUUGGACAUUUGAAACACAUUCUAAAUACGUGUAACGUUUGCAUAAUUUGUACAUUAUUCUGCUUUCUAAUUUUAGUUGUCGCUUGUGAGCAGAGCCGACCCUGAGUUCUAAGUGGCCGCAAGCUAAAGAAAAAAAUGGGUCGUUUUAUAAUAUUUAAAAAAAAAAUAAAAAAAAAAUCAUAAUUUAUAAAUGUGUUAAACAAAAACUAUAAAAUAUUUUAAAACAAAAAAAAAACCGGGUACAUUAUUUUUGAAAUAUGAUUCUUCUUGCAUUUCUUCUUGCAAACUCAUUCAUCAAGCAUGUAUAGUCAAGUUUUUCAGCCAUUCUCCUUUCAAUCGACAAUAUCGACAAUUCAUUCAAUUUUUUUUGUGACAUAGCAGACUGUAGAUAAGACUUUAUUAGCUUUAGCUUUGAGAAACUUCUUUAUGCUAAGGUAACUGAAACUGGAAUCGUCAUCAUUGUACGGUAUGCAUUCCAUGUAUUUGAACAACGGUUUUCCAACUUUUUCAGAUAAUCCAGUAUCUCGACUACUUUCUUAAUCUCUUUUGGUAAAGCUCCUUUUAAAAGCUUUAGCUCCAAAAAUAAAUCAUUACCAUCAAUAUCAGAAUGAUUACCAUGUUUCACAGAAGCUUCCAGGUUAACACAAGAAGCCAUCAACUUUUCAUCAUUUGCUAACAUCAGCUUCUUCAAGUCAAAUAAAAAUCCAAGUCUUUUCAUAACUUUGAAGUUGAUCAAACUUUGGCUCAAGAGAAACCAAACCUUGAUCCACGAUUUUGAUGAAGUAGUUGAUCCUGAAAUUUUCUUCUGCUGCUAAUAUCACAUCUUCCCCAUUUUUCUCAGGCUCUUCAUCAUAAUGUCGUUUCCUUUUCCUAAGAUGUUUUGCUUUGACAGAGAAUACAGGUUCGACUUCCAUCUCAAUAGAAAUCCGUUCAGCUUCUACUUUUGCUGCAUCAAAACCCGUCUCUCUAUAGUUUUUUAAAAAAGCAACUAGACCUUCAAGUUGAGAAAGAGCAAUAUCAAAAUCCAUUCUUCUGACUGCAAGAUCUUGCUUACUUUGUUCACAACAAACAAAAGUUCAUACCAGAUAAUCAUUCCAAACAAAAACUCAAAACUCCCAAUUCCAUGGACUUCACUCAUUGCAAGAGACUCAGCUUCGCUUCUUGUUUUUGGAUUAUCACUGUUUUCUGCUAAAUGAAACAAAGCAUCUCAUAUCUGAGGAGUUUGAAAUUGUAUAGCUUUGACGCUUUUAAUGCGGCUCUCCCAACGAGUUUGUGAUAAUGGCUUAACUGUAAUACCAUUCACAAUAUCUCUGAAAACUUCUCAAUUUUUUGUAGAAGAGUCAAACAAACAAUAGAUGCGCUGAAUAAUUCCAAAAAAUGAUACUGCUAUCGUCGACGAGGAAGCGAUAUCUGUGAGUAAAAGAUUCAAACUAUGACAGCCACAUGAUAUGUAAACCGCCCUUGAAUUAAUUUCAAGCAACCUCUUUUGUAAUCCUUUAUUUUUUCCUUUCAUGUUUGACCCAUUAUCAUAACCUAGUCCUCGAAUGUCAUCAGUACUCAAUCCAAGAUUAAGGAGCACAUCCUGAAGGGUUUCAAAAAGUCCUUCUCCGGUUUUAUCUUUGACUUCUAAGAAUGACAAAAAAACUCUUGAAUCUUCGGUGAAGUGUCAGAUAUAUCCACACAUCGGAUAACUAGAGACAUCUGUUCCCGGUUACUACUAUCAGGAGUGGUAUCAAGAAUAAUCGAAAAAUACUUUGCACAUUGAAUCUUCUCCAAUAUCAUUUUUUUCACCUCCGUCCCAAGCAUCUCAAUCAACUCAUUCUGAAUUCUGUGACUAAGAUAAUGAUAAUGAAUUUCACGUUUAUCAAUUCGUCUAAAGUGUUCUAUGAUCACAGGAUUAAAAUCUGCAAAUACCUCCAUCAUACCCAAAAAAUUUCCAUUAUCAUCCUCACGAACCUUAUCGCUGCGUCCAUGAAAUGCUAUAUUCUUUUUAGCUAGACCCUUUACCAAUGCAAUUAUCCUCAACAAUACAUCUCUCCAAUGUUUUUUUUUCUUUGUUAAUCUCUUCUUGAAUAUGCUUAUCAAUAGUCUGACUUGUCUGUAAUCUCACUUCUAGAUCCAUUCACUAAGUCAUGCAAAUGACAUGCUUAUGGCUUUUUUCAUGUUCCUUAAGCGUUCGUGAAAUAUUUCUCCAAUAAUUGUAUCCAUUAGUAACCAGCUGAUAAGCAGUGUUGUCUUGCGGAAAUAACUUACAACAAAAACAAAAAAACUUUAUCUUUUAUUGUUGAGUAAAUUAACCAUCGCUUAUCUUGCUUUUCUCCCGUUUGUUAUUCUUUUUGUAUAAGACGAAUGAAAAAAACUUCUGCCAAUAGAAUCUCUUGGAAAAUGAUAAUCAACUGAAAGCCUUUCUAUUGGACCUUUAUCAACCAGAAAAUCUCUCAAUUUAUUAUCAACUCUUUCCCAAUUUCCAGGAUCAUUGAUAUCAUUAAAAUAUUUGUUAAAUAGUUAACUAAAUUAUUAAUAUUUUAAAUAGUUAAAUAAUCAAUAUGGUGGUAGGUGGGUCAAUUGACCCAUGUGAAAUCCAAUUUUUUUUAUAUAUUUAUACUUUUUUUUUAAAAAAUUAUGUAAAAUAUUAAUAAUUUAGUUAAAUGAUGCUCAGAAUACACUCUAAAUUAAUACUGCCACUGACCAUGAAUAAACAAGUAGAAAAGGUACACAUGAUUAGUAGAUGAGUCACACGAUGGUUAGAUACCACACAUUGCAAUUCGAAGAGCAACGAUUUUAUGGGUUGAUAGAUUGAUACUACACAAUUACCUAAAGCAAUUUUUUUUACUUUUUAAAACAAAGCUCUCCUAAUAUCGUAGAAUAGCAAGUAAACAACAAUAGAUUGAUCAAAAAAAGCAAUUUGGAUUACCAUGGCAAUAAACCAGUUACCCAGACUCUACAUAACAAUGGAGUUUCCAUUACUCUAAUCUAUUUAGUAUUUCGUCGACCUUUUUGAACACGACAACUGAGAAAAGUAUUUCGUCAACCUUUUUGAACACGACAACUGAGAAAAGUAUUUCGUCGACCUUUUUGACUUAGAUGUUUUAGUUAAUUUCUGACUUUUCUGUCUUACGACUGCAUAACAUUUUCCAACCACACAUACAAAAAUAAUUCAUAAAUUCGUAGCUAUCCGAUCCACAUUCAUUGUAUAUAAUAUGAUCUGUGGGAUCUGGUCAUUGCUACUCACAGGCAAACAAAAAAAAAAAAAUGGAUAAAAGAUGGAGUCUUCAAGGUAUGACUGCUCUUGUGACCGGUGGAGCUAGCGGAAUCGGGUUAGUCUUUCUGCUUUUACCCAUUGUUCUAUCUUAGAUGGUCAAGAUUUCAAGGAAUUUGUGUUUUUUGAAUGUCUAGAUAUGCCAUAGUAGAGGAGCUAGCCGGUUUUGGAGCUAGAAUCCAUGUAUGUGACAUCUCUGAAACGCUGCUGAAUCAAAGUUUAAGCGAAUGGGAUAAGAAAGGGUUUCAAGUGAGUGGCUCAGUCUGUGAUGUAACCUCUCGUCCCGAGAGAGAAACUUUGAUGGAAAAAGUCUCCUCGCUGUUCAAUGGCAAACUCAACAUUUUUGUAAGUACUAAAUGAUUUCUUGAUAUAGGAACAACUAUGUAUAUUCGUUUAAAGAAAACUUUGAAAACAUCCUCUUUGUGUUCAACAUAGGUGAAUAACGUAGGCGUACUUCGAGGAAAGCCAAUAACAGAAUUUGUGGCAGAAGAUUUCGCUUUCAACAUCUCAACAAACUUGGAACCUGCUUUCCAUUUUUGCCAGCUUUCACAUCCUCUCCUAAAGGCUUCAGGCUAUGGAAGCAUCAUCUUAAUGUCCUCUGUUUCAGGGAUUUUAUCAGUUGAGCAAGGAUCCAUUUAUGGUCUAGCCAAAGGUAACCACAGCUACUACUAGAUGCCGUUUAUUGCAAGGCAUGCUAAUCAACAAGGAGUUGUUUCUUUUUGAUUUUUUUUUGUUUUAAUGUUUUGUUGAUUUCUUUUACAGGAGCUCUGAAUCAGCUAGCUAGAAAUUUAGCAUGUGAAUGGGCAAAAGACGGCAUAAGAGCCAACGCUGUUGCACCUAAUGUUGUCAAGACACCACAAUCUCAACCUGUAAUUAAAAGAAAAAGAAAAAAAAAUUUACAUAUUUUUGUGUGAAUUUAGCAACCUUAAUUCGUCUAACCAUUUCUCAUUUUUUUUGUUUUUGAAGUUUC